CCCAGUUCGGAUUGUAGUCUGNAACCCGACUACAUGAAGCUGGAAUCGCUAGUAAUCGCGGAUCAGAAUGCCGCGGUGAAUACGUUCCCGGGUCUUGUACACACCGCCCGUCACACCAUGGGAGUCGGAAAUGCCCGAAGUCGGUGACCGAACCGAAAGGAAGGAGCCGCCGAAGGCAGGUCUGGUGACUGGGGUGAAGUCGUAACAAGGUACC
rnacentral:rRNA from 1 species